rnacentral:rRNA from 1 species
UACAGAGGUCUCAAGCGUUGUUCGGAUUCAUUGGGCGUAAAGAGCGUGUAGGCGGCCAGACAGGUCCGUUGUGAAAACUGGAGGCUCAACCUCCAGACGUCGAUGGAAACCGUCUGGCUAGAGUCCGGAAGAGGAGAGUGGAAUUCCUGGUGUAGCGGUGAAAUGCGCAGAGUAUCAGGAAGAACACCCGUGGCGAAAGCGGCUCUCUGGGACGGUACUGACGCUGAGACGCGAAAGCGUGGGAGCGGACAGG